GGUGAACGCUGGCGGCGUGCCUAAUACAUGCAAGUCGAGCGAACGGACGAGAAGCUUGCUUCUCUGAUGUUAGCGGCGGACGGGUGAGUAACACGUGGAUAACCUACCUAUAAGACUGGGAUAACUUCGGGAAACCGGAGCUAAUACCGGAUAAUAUUUUGAACCGCAUGGUUCAAAAGUGAAAGACGGUCUUGCUGUCACUUAUAGAUGGAUCCGCGCUGCAUUAGCUAGUUGGUAAGGUAACGGCUUACCAAGGCAACGAUGCAUAGCCGACCUGAGAGGGUGAUCGGCAACACUGGAACUGAGACACGGUCCAGACUCCUACGGGAGGCAGCAGUAGGGAAUCUUCCGCAAUGGGCGAAAGCCUGACGGAGCAACGCCGCGUGAGUGAUGAAGGUCUUCGGAUCGUAAAACUCUGUUAUUAGGGAAGAACAUAUGUGUAAGUAACUGUGCACAUCUUGACGGUACCUAAUCAGAAAGCCACGGCUAACUACGUG
rnacentral:rRNA from 1 species